CCUACGGGAGGCAGCAGUCGAGAAUCAUGCACAAUGGGGGAAACCCUGAUGGGGCGACGCCGCGUGGGGGAAUGAAGGUCUCCGGAUUGUAAACCCCAGUCAUGUGGGAGCAAAUGAAAAAGAUAGUACCACAAGAGGAAGAGACGGCCAACUCUGUGCCAGCAGCCGCGGUAAUACAGAGGUCUCAAGCGUUGUUCGGUAUGACUGGGCGUAAAGCGUGCGUAGGCUGUGUCGUAAGUCGAGUGUGAAAGGCGCGGGCUCAACCCGCGGACGGCACAUGACACUGGGAGACUAGAGUAAAGGAGGGGGAACCGGAAUUCUCGGUGUAGCGGUGAAAUGCGUAGAUAUCGGGAGGAACACUCGUGGCGAAGGCGGGUUCCUGGACAUUAACUGACGCUGAGGCACGAAAGCCAGGGGAGCGAAAAGGAUUAGAUACCCGAGUAGUC
rnacentral:rRNA from 1 species